AGAGUGCAGCUCUAAAGUGGGUGGUAGAUNCCNUCUAAAGCNAAAUNNGACCACGAGACUGAUAGCGAACAAGUACCUGAGGGAAAGUUGAAAAAACUUUUGAAGAGAGAGUUNNNNNGUACGNGAAACCGUUCAGGGGUAAACCUAAGAAACCCAAGGUCGAACGGGGAGAUUCAUCGUCNGCGGCGCUGGCUUCGCGUCGGUGGGCGAUGUCCCGCAGAAUNUCGCGGCUCUCGCACGNGCACGCUACCGUGCGUCGAUGUACGGCGCUCGUUGUCGUGCACUUUUCCCCAAGUAGAACNNNNNNACCCGCUGGGUGUCGGUNNNCGGGCCGGGGUGCGGUGACCGUCGCGUCGCCGUAAAACGGCACGCGACAAACCCCCGGUCGCCCAGCCGGCUGCUCGGCGGUACGCGCAAGGUAUCAGGCCGCACUGUUUACGAUGCGUCGAGGCCGUCGCAAGCGCGCGCCACGGUACUCGGAGGUUA
rnacentral:rRNA from 1 species